UGCCCUGUUAGCUCAGUCGGUUAGAGCAGCGGACUCAUAAUCCGUUGGUCGUGGGUUCGAGCCCCACACAGGGCACUGC
rnacentral:tRNA from 1 species